rnacentral:tRNA from 1 species
UGGGGCAUCGUAUAACGGCAGUACAGCGGACUCUGGAUCCGCUAGUCUAGGUUCGAAUCCUAGUGCCCCAGCCA